UACGUAGGGUGCGAGCGUUGUCCGGAUUUAUUGGGCGUAAAGAGCUCGUAGGCGGCUUGUCGCGUCGGAUGUGAAAGCCCGGGGCUUAACUCCGGGUCUGCAUUCGAUACGGGCAGGCUAGAGUGUGGUAGGGGAGAUCGGAAUUCCUGGUGUAGCGGUGAAAUGCGCAGAUAUCAGGAGGAACACCGGUGGCGAAGACGGAUCUCUGGGCCAUUACUGACGCUGAGGAGCGAAAGCGUGGGGAGCGAACAGG
rnacentral:rRNA from 1 species